rnacentral:lncRNA from 1 species
AAGCAAAAUUUGUAUAUGUUGUCUCUCCCACAUUUUCAAAUUUCUAGUUUCCAAAAAAAAAAAAAAAAAAACGAAUGAGCACCGGUCAACGUUAUAUGUUGUCCCCCACUUUGACGGUAUAUGUUCUUUCACACUGUCUUGAUUAAGGUGCAGUAGCAUAUGGUUGGAGUCCCCCAAGUCUUCGGUCGAGGGAGUUGACGAAUGAGGCAUUUCCUUUCUAAGUGGUAUCCCAAAACUCCUUCUUCAUAUAUAUUUGUUAUGAAAGUUGUUAGGCCCAAAGAAGAGGAGGCCUAGGCAAUUUUUAUUUUUUUCGAAAUUUUUUUUUUCAAAUUUUUGAAUUUUCAAAUUUUUGAAUUU